ensembl:lncRNA
CCACACCUCUGCUCCCCAGAACUUAGAAUGUUUCUCCAGUCAAGUUUGAAGACUACAGGCCCAGCAAAGGGAGACAAUGAGUUUUAACAUUUUCUGAGAAGCAACAGAGUGGAGUGUGAUUCACAGCACGGCCUCUGAGCUGGCCCGCCUGGUUCAAAGCCUAGCUCUGUCACUUAUAGCCAUAAGUGAUUUCAAGCACGGAGAGAAUUUCACAGCUCAUUGACUGCUCUGACUCCUAAUCUACACCGGAGGAAACAAUGUUGCAGCUCAUCAAAUGCAAUCAGCUGCUAAUUGAAAGGAAAUGGAAUUUUACAAUUACAGGCCACCUUUCAGUGCUCAGGAUUUCUAAGCCUUCUCCCCACCCUCCUUGGCCAGCUCAGCACUGGCAGGAGCACUUGACAACCUGCUGGAGACUUCCCUGAGAACUGCAUUUAGGAUCUGGCCCAGAGCCGCAAAAAGGGAAGCAGCAUCCUUGCCAGUUCCUAGACUGUCCUUCAAGGCUCAGUGCAAAGGGAAGAGGCUGGGGUUGGGCAUCCACAGACCUAAGUGAGUGUGCUGGCUCACCUUCCCGCCGCCCCUUUGACUUGAACAAGGUAUGCCCUUGUUCUUCCCCGAGCCCCACUUUCCUUCUCUCCAAAAUCAAGAUUUAAUGAUUUCCAAGGUUCUCAUUGGGCUUCCUUGGUGGCUCAAUGGUAAAGAAUCUGCCUGCAAUGCUGGAGAAAUGGGUUCAAUUACUGGGUUGGAAAGAUUCGCUGGAGAAGGAAAUAGCAAUCCGCACCAGUAUUCUUGCCUGGAAAAUCGCAUGGACAGAGGAGUCUGGAAGGCUACAGUCCAUGGGGUUGCAAAAGAGUCAGACAUGACUGAGCAACUAAACAACAAAACAACAGAGCUUAUUAGCUCCGAGGAUUCUGUUCACCCUAUUCCUGCUACUAUUCCCAUCCAGUGGACAACAUCUAAGUGGACAUACUCUUGCUGGCCCAGAUAUCUGCUUUUGCAAAUGCUACCAGGAAGGUCUUGGAGGUCUUCAUAGAACCAUUCAACUUCACCUUCUUUGCCAUUAGUGGUUGGGGCAUAGACUUGGACUACUGUGAUAUUGAAACAAUUAAGCCAUUCAGGAAAACACUUUCACAACUAGGAGGAGGCAGAAAAUGCUUUCCAAGCGUUCCUCAAAUCCUGACUUUUAUGCUGCAGGAAUUAACAAACGUAUUUCUUGUUGGCAAAAUUGUACUGAUUGUAAUGGAUUCUAUUUUGGUUAAUAAAGAUAUGCUUGAGCCUAGUUAUAAUGAUUUAAAAAUCCACAGUCUGAAACAGCAAUUACUUUUGUACCAAUAUAAUAUUUAUC